UCAUCUCAGUGAGCAAUUUUAAUUCAUUUUCAGCAAAAUCUUAAAAACUUGAAGACCUGGACUUCUUCAGCUGUGGCAUCACAAACCUGAAAGAUUGCAGGGAAAAGAUUUGUGAGCUGCUUCAGGAGAUCACCUACCUAGAUUGAUUUGAUCAGGAAGAUAACGAGGCCCCCAAUUCAAAAGAUGAAGAUGAUGAGGGUGACUACUCUAAACAUGCAGCCAUUAGUUAUGCCCUUCAGUCAGUAUCUAAAUAUAAAAUUGAGACUAAAGUGACUGUGGAACUGCUGGAGCACAAAUCAGCUACGUGUGUCAAGUGAAGGCCAGUAUCACAUACUGCUCCUAUUGAGUAAUGCCGGGGUGGGGGGCAAUGCACUUGCAAAGAAAGUUGUCAUGGAUGCUGUGCACAGUUAAAGGAGAGUUGCACUUAGGAAAACAUGAGAUCUUUACACUAAGAUAUAACUAUAUAAAAGCAGUUAUUGCUGAUACCAAAAGAUGUUUUGUUUGUUUUUUUGUACCCGUCAUCUCAUAUUUGAUGCUGUGGCACAUUCAGUUCUCUGUUUUCUCUUCCUACACAAAGAGGAAAAAAUGGGAUGUUACUUCUAGUCCUGUCUUUUUUUAAAGAUUACUGGUGAAGGUGUUGUAGUUGAAUUGAGUCAGAUUUCAGAAGCUCAUUUAAGAUGAGUUUACAAACAAGCCUUUGAGGUGUAGGCAAAGCUGUAAGGAAUUAAUUUACCUGCCUUUCAGAAGGGGAUGAGGAGGAUGAAGCAGAUGAAGAUGAAGCUGGUCCACCAGGAGAGUACAAAGAAGACAAAGAUGAAAAUAAUGGAGGUUCAGAUUUGGGGGAGAGUGAAGAGGAGGAAGAAGCUGGCCUUUCAUACCUGAUGACGGACAAGAUCCAGCGGUUAUCAACAUGAGCCAUGAUGCACGACUGAUCACGGAGAGCAGCUGCCAGCUCUGGGUGGUGGAGGAGCAGUCCAUCAGCCACAUCAACAGCGACUUUGACUACAAGUGGGAGGUUCUGGAGGCCUCGGGCCAGGUCAUCGUUGCUGACUCGCUGUGCUGCUCCUGGAUGAAAACACAAAUCAAGAGCUCAAGGAUGCAGCUUGAAGGGAAGUUGUGAAAUCUCUUUCACUGGAGGGUUUUCAAGACUGGUAGACAUCUGUCCAGGGCAGCUUGGACAUAGCACGCCCUGUGCCCUGCCCCUGUGCAGCAGAUGGGACAAGACGGCCCUUGAGGACUCCUCCGACCUCAGGGAUCUACGAUUGCAUGAUGGACGUUUUCCUCACUGAGGAGCUGCCUGGCAAUGACUAAGGCCCUGACAUGUGGGUGUCACAGGCCCUGCCUGAGAGAUGCCAUCCAUGAAAAUUUUCCCCUGGGGAAACGGAUUUUUCAAAAAUCAAUUACUCCUUCUGAAUCUAACCAGCCUUAUUACCGUGAUUGCUCUUUCCAUAUUUUUCAAGCACAUUAUGUGAGAAGCAGCCUCCCCUGCUCCUUUCCACCUCAUGCUCUAGUUGCUGCAGCACCCAGGAGGUUUUGUACUGAAGUGCAUCACCGUGAGAGGGCGGCUGUAGUCCUGCCCACAGUAGUAGUCGCCUGCGUCUUCCACCUGCACCCCGCAGAUGGUGCACUCACGAGAAGAGUGACAAAGGCCUUUGCUACUUGCUGUUCAGCAUCUGCCAAGGUUGGUCCUGUGUUCAGCAGAACAAGGAGGGCUUCCAUGUGGUAGGAGCUGCUGUGUCCUGCAUGGGGAACGUCAAGUCCCAGGGCACUGGGCAGGUGCAGAAGACCGAACAUGCUUGUUUUGCCUCAAAUGCAGCCUUCACUUACAGAGCUCUAAGACGGGACUGAAAAGGGCAAAAUGAGGUGUUUGUAGCUGCUCAAGACAAAGAGGAAAUGCCAGCUGAUGUGUUUGGAAAGCAGUGGGUCAGUAGAAGCACCUGGCCUGCAGUUCCUGGCCACACAUCCCCUCUGAUCUGAUUUGGGUGCAAGAUGCCUGCCCUGCUCUUACAUCGGUCAGAAUGAGCCAGGUCCGUAGUAGCCUGCUGGGAGGAUUCGCAGUCACAUCGUGCCCUCUCCUGGCCAGAGGCUGCUAUUAGAUGAACCCGUCUGCUUUCCAGGAGGUCUUAGUGCAUCUUUCUCUGAUAGAAUAAAGACCCAUUGGGAGUAUGCAGGGCUUUCUCCUUGGAAAGGUGUUCACAUAAUGAAACUCAGUCACCUCUCAGCCUUCUUCCCAGGGAUGCGUGUGAUGUGAUCAGGACAAUUUGGGAGUGUCUGAAGAGUCUGUCGGUGGAUGAGGCUGUCUAGGGAACUUGUGGAUUCUCCUUUCCUGGAGGUUUCAAAAAGGAUUGGACAAGCAUUGGCCAUGGACGAUCAAGGAGCAGCAAUGCCUGGACUUUGCUGUGCAGAGCAAUAGCUGGAAGCCCAGGAGAAGCCCCCUCCCCACGCCGACACAGCGCUGGGAGAUGAUGGGAAGAGCUGUGCAGCCCAGAGCAGGUGACAUUGGAGAGGACCAUGUUCAGCAGCAGAAGAAUGAAACAGUGCUUCAAAACUGACUUAGUUAGAAAAGAAGAGUAAAGAGAUGGGACAAGUGUGCAGAGAUGACAGGAUGAGAGAAAGGGGGAUUACGGCUCUCUAGUUAGGGUUUGUGAUGUGUGAAGCUGUGUUUGCUGUCCCCGUGUUGCAGAACAGGGUGGAGGGAGUUCGGUCUCCUCCUGCCUCUGGGCUUUGCUGGUGGCCACGUGGGGCCACGGGGGAAUGCUUUCCUUUCCUGCGGCCACAGGUAUUAAGGUUUUCAUUUUUUUUACGCUUUCAUAGAAGCCCAAGAGGCAGCUGAGCACUGUGCCAGGCACCUCUGGACAUGUGGACUAUGAGAUCCCAAUAGUGAUCCAUAACCGAAUGGGACAGCCGACAUGUGGCUCAAUGCCCUGUGACGGGUUAGCAGAGCCACUGGCCUGGGACUGCGGGAAGCAGCUGGUGCCGGGAGCAGCAGAACUGAGCAGAGCAGGGGGGUUUUGUACUGGGCUGUAGCACUGUGAGUGGGGUAUCAUAAUACUGCUGACAGCAAUAAUCUCCAGCAUCACCAGCCUCCACCGGGCUGAUGGUAAAAGCGUAAUCAGUGCUGACCCACUGUCACGGAACCAGUCUGAGGCUCUGGGUGGCUGUGUUGUAAUGCCAGAAAUAAGGAGCUUGGGCACUUGUCUUGGUUGGAGGAUGCGGUACCCCUGUGAACCCCACAUUCCCAGCUAGAUCAGUGGGGCACAGUGUGUCCCUCCCCAGUCCUGAGCCCUGAGACUAUGCACUGGACCGGGAAGGCCUCAGGGAAUUCAUCCCCAUCCCCUACCCCUGAGCCAGUGCUGAGUUCCUGUUUGAAGGUGCUACUUCCCAUGCAGCUGCAGGGCUCUGGCCCCUGGGGAGCGGGUGCAGCCAUGCCCUUGUGGGAACAGGGGAUGCAGCCCGGGGCACCAGGACAGCCCAUACCCAGCUGUGCCUGCCACUAGUGCCAAAUGCUGCCAGCUGGGCUGGCUCAGCUCAGGUGGGUCUGCUUUCCCCUGGCAAGGGAGCAGUGGCUGCCAGCUCUGCCUGGCACAGGGGCCUGCUGCCCCCACCUCAACCUCAGGGCUAAAAUUUCUCAUGCUUGUUCAGAGGAAAUAAGAUGAAACCAUCCAAAUGAAAGAGCUGAGUUUCAUACAAAUGAAACAGCUGAGGACACCUGUGAGAUCCUAACUGAGUUAGUCACUGAUGGGCAGCAGUGGUGGGUGAAGCGCAUGAACAUGAGCAGCCCCAGGCCCUGCUGUGACGGGGCAGGAGAGUCCCUGGUCUGUGGCUGGGCAGGAAGCAGCUGGUGCCGGGAGCAGCAGGACUGAGCAGAGCAGAGAGGUUUUUGUACGGGGCUGUAGCACUGU